CCCGCUGAACUUAAGCAUAUCAAUAAGCGCAGGAAAAGAAACCAACAGGGAUUGCCUCAGUAACGGCGAGUGAAGCGGCACCAGCUCAAAUUUGAAAUCUGGCCUCUCGGGGUCCGAGUUGUAAUUUGUAGAGGAUGUUUUGGGUACCGCCCCGGUCUAAAUUUCUUGGACCAGAAUGUCAGAGAGGGUGAGAAUCCCGUCUUGGACAGGCGGUAGGGCCUGUGUAAAACUCCUUCGACGAGUCGAGUUGUUUGGGAAUGCAGCUCAAAAUGGGUGGUAAAUUUCAUCUAAAGCUAAAUAUUGACCAGAGACCGAUAGCGCACAAGUAGAGUGAUCGAAAGAUGAAAAGCACUUUGAAAAGAGAGUUAAACAGUAUGUGAAAUUGUUGAAAGGGAAGCGCUUGCAACCAGACUUGAGCGCGGCGGUUCCCCUGGCCUUUUGGCCAGGCCUACUCCGUCGUGUCCAGGCCAACAUCGGUUCUGAGGGUCGGUCAAAGGCUCUGGGAAUGUAUCUACCCACGGGUAGACUUAUAGACCAGGGUGUCAUGCGGCCUCUCGGGACCGAGGAACGCGCUUCGGCUCGGAUGUUGGCGUAAUGGUUGUCAGCGACCCGUCUUGAAACACGG
rnacentral:rRNA from 1 species